rnacentral:lncRNA from 1 species
GGAAAUUUUUUCACAUGGUGACUAUCACUUCUUUACUGUAUAAAAAUUAUUCUUAGUUUUCUCUCUUCUUUAUCCGACUCCACAGUAUAAAAACAAAAUGAAAUAAGAGUAUUUUAUACUACAGAAACAGGACAAUAGUCAUUCAGUAGUUUGAUAUCCUGUGUCUGUUCUUGAUUUGUGCUGAGUUGGGAACCAACAAGUUUAAAAAAAAUCUCAGUAUUCAGUGACUAACCCAAGCCCAAAUCCUGCCAACAGGGCAGCCUUCGGAGAAACCACACGACACCUUCAGAAGAGAUGUUUAAAAUUUGAACAAAGUGGGCUUUGUACACUUGCUGGUGCCAUUUGUGGCAGAGAAGGACUUUCUCGGAUUGCUUUGGGAUGAUGAAGAGCGUGUCUCUCAUCCAAAAACUGAAAUGAUACCUUCAGGUGAGUCCGGAGUCCAAAUCCUCAAAGGAGAGAUUUAGGAAAGCAUGUGAGAGGAUCAGGUUUAAACCAAAUAAUCCCUGAAGAAGAAAUUCCAUUCAGGUUCUUUCUUUAAAACAGGAAAUUAAACAGAGUCAUUAUAAGGCAAACUCAAGAGAGUGGUAGCACCAUCCCUCCCUACUGUUAGUUGCAUGAAUUUCAUUUUGGGUCAUCUGUGAAUUGAAAACGUGAUUUAAAUUCGAUCCUGGUGACCAUAGCUCAUUGCACAUACAAUGAUCAGAAU